CAGUGGCUGUUCAGACCUUUCAGAGACACUGAACACACCAGCAGCACAAUGAUGAUGUCACUGACUCUACUGCUGACCACCCUGGGGCUCCUUGUUCAGGGUUCAUCAGGUGAAAUCAUCCUGACUCAGACUCCUCGAUCUCAGUCUGUUGCUCCUGGACAGACUGUUUCCAUCAAAUGUAAAGCCAGUUCCAACAUGGGCGCCUACCUUCACUGGUACCUUCAAAAACCUGGAGAGGUUCCUAAACUCCUCAUAAAUUAUGCUACAACUCGUGUGUCUGGAGUUUCAGAUCGUUUCAGUGGAAGUGGAUCUGGGACUGAUUUCACUUUAACCAUCAGUGGAAUCCAGAGUGAAGAUACAGGAGAUUAUUACUGUCAGCAGUGUGGUUACAGCUUCCCGUUCACACGGUGAUACAACAUCGUACAAAAACCUCCUUCAGCUGGAGAGGAACUGAUCUGAAUGAGCUGCUCACUGAAACCACAACACAGCUGAAUGUAAUGGUACACAACUUUAUAAUAUAAGACCAGACAGUGAUCAAAGUUCAGCACUGAUCUUUGAAACGUGUUAAUGCACCAAUUUAAACCAGCAGAAGAAAAUAUCCUCAUCGUGAUCGAAAUGUCCAGAUUUUUCUUUAUAAAUCAAUCAUCCAGUUCAGGACUGUGUGAGAUAAACAACCAUACAAGAUCCCACUCCUACCUUAUAAUCAAUUUACAUUCAUCAAGUAACCUAACAGGCAUGUUUUUGUAUGAUGGGAGGAAGCCACAAACACAGAGGCAUCAUACAACCUGAAAUUUGAACCAGAAACCUUUUUUGGUUUGAGUCGACAGUGCUGAUCACCACAUUCAGCUCUGUUAUUUAUUCAGUUACAGCAAAUAUUUUCUUUCUUUCAUUUUACAGAAAAUGUUUGAAGCAGCUAGAUUAAUGAGGCCAGAAUUAAAACAUAAUAUGGACUCAUUGACUUGACUGCAAGUAGUCAUGUGACCACUCAAGUCUCUUUAUCAGAGGUCAGAGAGGGUUAUAUUC